GGAGUUGUGGCUCAGUGGUAGAGCACUCACCUAGCAUGUGUGAGACCCAAUUUUCGAUCCUCAGCACCA
rnacentral:tRNA from 1 species